GCCUCUGUAGCUCAGUCGGUAGAGCACAUCCAUGGUAAGGAUGGGGUCACCGGUUCAAGUCCGGUCGGAGGCU
rnacentral:tRNA from 3 species